rnacentral:rRNA from 1 species
UACAGAGGUGCCAAGCGUUAGGCGGAAUCACUGGGCUUAAAGCGUGCGCAGGCGGCUUUGCAAGACAGAUGUGAAAUCCCCGGGCUCAACCUGGGAACUGCAUUUGUGACUGCAUGGCUGGAGUGCGGCAGAGGGGGAUGGAAUUCCGCGUGUAGCAGUGAAAUGCGUAGAUAUGCGGAGGAACACCGAUGGCGAAGGCAAUCCCCUGGGCCUGCACUGACGCUCAUGCACGAAAGCGUGGGGAGCAAACAGG